ACGUCUCGUCUCUCGUUCAACUCCCAUCCCGGAUCUCGCAUCUCUCUCACCCACGACACGUGAUCCCACCUCCUCGUGGCGCAGUCCAUGCCCGCCCCAUCGGAAAAUCGCCUCCGUCUCCGCCUAGCCGUCGAUGUCCUACUUAUCUUUUCUUUCGUCGGAAAGGCCAUAAGGGAGGAUCUGUUUUUCUGGGCGGCCAUGAGCUCCAUCCCCAGAUCGGUGGCGCACCACACCCCUGAAGAAUGGGUAUGUAUCCAAUUUUUAUCUGGAGUUAUUGGGCUUGCUGCUGCUAGCUCUUCCACGCUCUUGGCACAUAGCCAUGCGGUGGUGAGCGACAGUAGCAACGUUGAGUUUUGGGGGCCGUCGGCGUCGUGGAACUCGGUGUGGCUGAAGGUACUCUAUCAGGUAAUCGGGUGGAUCACCUUCUUUCCUGGUCCUUCAUCUUCUACCUGUAGGUUGUCCUCUACUACAAGAGCAAGAGGUGCUCCUUCUAUCCCUUUCCUUUGUCCUUGGCUAUAGUCUAUUUGGGCUAGAUUUGUUUGACCAGCUGUUCGUCUGUUCCUCAGCCUGCGGUUCUGAGGAUUCACUUAAUCUGCUCACAAAACAGACUUUGCUUCCUUUGUCAUAUAUGUGUCUUGAUUUUGGAAGAAAGAAAAACGACCUUGAGAAAUUUGUCUGGUACCAUGUCAAAUGUCUAGAAAAUGCAGUUUUCUUUGAGCUGACGAUGAACCGUGUCUUCAGGCAGAUGCAAAUUCUAGGAAAUUGCCUCGAUUGCUUUGCUCCUAUGGCAAGAUAGUGGCCCUGUUUAUUGGAGGGUGUCAUGUAUGCAAAGUACAGGCAAAGAAACAAAACAAAAAGCAGUUACCAGUUAGCACCGAGUAGAACGAACCUUUUCCUUGUGGUGCUUAUAAACUACUCCAUCCGAUCCAAACAGAAGUGUCGUGGUUUUUUUGGGUUGGAGGGAGUAUUUAAUGUACGCUUUGUUGUCCAUCUAUUAUUAUUGUUGUAUAACGAUUCUUGCUGGUAUGGCUAAAUAAAAAUCACGACCAAGAAGAAGAGACAAGGUAUAAGAAUAAGCCAUUACGAUAUCCGGAUCAGAUCGAAAUCAGGGAAAUCGUUAUGAAACCAGAGAUACAGUAAAAAAAGGUUUUUAAGUAGUAAAUUAAGGGUUUUGGUGCUUUGCACAACUGCAUGAAAAAUGAGAGUAUAAAUUUUGGACCUGUCAAGAUUUGUAAUUGUGGCAGUAUGGUCUGAUUGUGUUUAUUUUAGUAACCAGCUCAUCCUCCAUGACAUUGCUCUUCAUAGGUAUUGCUUUUCCUUGCCCAUUCCUAUAAGGCUAUAACUAAUUAAGCUUCAUCUUAAAAAAUAGGUUUAUCAUUCCACCCUUAAGAAAGAGGUUAUGCACAGAGAAGUGACCUUCAAGUGUGAAGCCAGAUGCAAAAACAACACAUGUUGAUGCAAUUGUUCCACACCCUCUUAAUUCUUUUCCUAUCUGACCAAAUGGUAUCUACUCUUUGUCCAGAUGUUGCAAAAAGGAAUGAAUUAUUGAAUGUUUGCUGCUCCAGAGUUUGCUAGAUUGUGGUUUUUUUUAGCAAAACUGAUAAUUUGUGUAAAUUUGGAAUUUUAUAUGAUGGUAAGAACUUUCUUUGUGCAUGAUUGUUGAUAAAUUAUUUUAUUUGAGAUUUGAUAAGCUGGAUUUAGGUAGCGCUUGUAGGCUAGCGUACCAUUCCAUCGCAUCAAGAUAAUAUAUAUAUUGUGGAUAAUGUUCAAUAUUAGUGCAACAUGCAAGAACGUUUUCCAAUUGUUGAUAAUUAGCUUCAGCCUUCGCACCAUCUAUAGUAUUUCUGCUUCAAAGGAUCGAUCUGAGAGGUCAUAAGAGUAGUGUUGGUAAGGGCAUUUAAUUUGUUCCAACUAUAUCUGUCUUUCUGUUCUUGUACUUUUCGCAUGUUUUUGUACCAGUAUUACAAAGCUUUCAUCCAAGUCGAGGCAAAUAGAGAUGGUGCUGGAGCUGUCUUGCCGCAUUGCGCGCCGAUGAACAUCAAUCCACGCAAAGUCAGUGCAAAAGCCAAUAAAAUUGAUAAGUUAUGGCACUGAAUUUGUUAGGAUAUUAUAAGAAUACAGUUGAAAAAAGGAUUAUGUGUUGUCUAUAAUUUAUGACCAAUAUGAGCCCCCCUUUGGUUAAAGAUAACUUUACAUAAUAACAUUGUUUCAUAAUGUGAUAUUUAAUCCUAAGAGAACAAAUUAAUUCGAUUUAGGUGAUGAUGUGUUUCAUCGUCCCUUUAGCCUAAUAACAUAUUAUCUCACUGAAGGUUUCUUUUAUGCUUUCAAUAGAGUAACUGUCUAGAUUUUAGUAAUGAAUGUUUUCAAAUGUUAAAAUGCCAGUCUUCGGGGAAGGCAUACAAAUAGAACAAUGUUUGUUUUUGUGAACUGAAUCAUGUCAAAGAUUAUGUAGUUACUUUGAUGAAAAUAAAACCAUUGUAUGCACUCAGUACUCGGCAUAACAGAAAUUAUGUUUAACCUCAUCUAUAGUACCUAAAUAGUUCAUCCCCACUAUGUAAUUUCUCUUGACAUGCAGCCUAUCCACAUCAGCAAUCUAGCCACGUCAGCGUUCCUCUACCGGCUUACAGGAGGGACCCACCGUCUAUUAAUCAGCGUACACAAUGACCACAUCAGCGUUCGGUUGCCAGGUACACACCACAUACUGAUGCGUACAAAAUGCAGCGUCCCGACCCAAUCAUCUUCCCCUCCCCACUCAUCUCAAUUAAUUUCCCACCCAUCUCCCCAAUUAACUCCACCAUCCGUGGCUCUCCCCAUUCAUCUUCUCCGCUGAAAAAAUGCACAAGUAACAGAUGGAUUGGUUCUUCCAUUUAAGCUUACAUGUUCGUUCAUAGUCACAGGGAUUUCCCCUAGGGUGGUUGGUCUUUCCGAGGUGCGGGUGCAUCCCGGCAGUGGCCGCGCCCGCCUCUGCGGUGCUGUCGGCUGCCUCUCCUCCUCCUUCGCCCCCGGCGCUGUCCUUGGUGGCCUCCGCAAAUCCCUGCUUCAUCCGCAACUCCCUGCAGAUGGAAGACGUGCAGAAGAGGCUGCAGCAAGCAGUGGUGGCCUAUACUGGUGGGUGGAAUCAUACCGGCCGGGUCGCUGGGAUCUCGCCUGGAAGGAUGCUCAGCCUGACGAAUCAGCCAUGGAUUGGGCGCCGUGCUGGCCGGUGAACACUUUCUUAUCGGCCUGGAAGGGCUGGGCUGAUGGCGAUGCCAGUAGGGUCUCCGUUUCCUGCCACGGCAUGCAGCUUACUCCUCCAAAAUCACCUGCACCAAAGAAGGCUGCACCAAAGGUCUCCUCAAAUCCAAGCGAUCUUUUCGAGUAAGGUUGGAUUGAAAACUCUGAUUUUUUUGUUGUUGUUUGUACGGAGCAAUUUUUUGGAAGAGAGCUCUGUUCCAUCUACAUCCACCUCCUGCUGUAAGCAAGUUCGGUCAGUGUCUCACACCCUCAAUCCUCUCUAACUCAAGCACUACCGGCAAGCAUGUGCGAGAUAUUAUUGAUCGUGCACAUAUCUCCGAUCCGGUUGAUUUUUAUUAGAAGCGCUGAAACUUCCUAAAACAAUUUAGAGCAUGGAGUAUUGUUUGUCCAGCUUCUGUAAUAGUACUUCGCUCUGGAUUUUUGUGCAUGGCUCAGUGUGGCUCUGUGUUUGCUUACUAAUAAACUAAUAAACUCAGACUUGGAUAGUUGUCAUUUUGAGAAGCUCGCUUACAUGUAUCUUGCCAAAGUAACACCCAUGAAUAGUUAAUCGGGAUGUACGAACUUGUGGAAUUGUACUCUAGAAUGAAGAGUUUUGUUUACAGGAUGGUUGUCGUUUACAGUUUCUAUCUCUCAGUAAGGUCCUGCAUGGUUAUUCCAGUUUUACAGCUAGCCAACUAGCUACUAGGAGCUAUAUGGCGUACUCUCGACUAUAUCCAAAAACAUAUAUGAUUUACUUUAUUAUGUAGUACAAACCAGCUCAGGCAGUGUUCAAAACUCUGCCUACUGAUCAACAAUAAAAAUAUUUGUCCAAUGUAAUGUUUUUUUUCCAAUAUCUUAUUCUUGCCAUUUCUAUUUUUGGAAUCUUGAACUGAUAGCAAAAUAUUUCAGAUAAGGUCCGUUUCAUUUCUGAUACUUAUUCCAGUCACAUUUCUCUGCUAUACGCAUUGAUAAAAGCUUUGGAUUUUUGGACCACAACUAUUUUAUCUCUGGCAAUGCCAUCAGGGCGUCAACUCUCCAUAUUUUGCUAUAUAUAUAAUUUUCCUAAAGUUUCUACUCUACUACAGUUUUCUAAUAAGGAACUAAUUGGUGUUUUCUGUAUAAGUAGCGCUUUUUAUACAUCUAUGACAUCUACCCUUUCUGUUGGUACAGAUUAUCAUCCUUCACCUAUGAUGUUACACAUUAUACUCUUUGAGCAUUACACGUUGCUUCAUUUGGUUGCAUUGGUCCAGUUUUCAUGUCCCGACAUUAGAGCCAGGUAACAAAGGACUUCCAGCUUCAAUUGAAACCCAACUCCGACAACAUGGUAGAUACAAACUACCCGUUCGGAGUUUAACUAUUUGUCAUGCCUCCUUUCUAUGAUCUCCUCUUGAAAUAUAAACUGAUGAGCUAACAUCAUGUUCAUCUAUGAAGAAUGUACGAGUGUAAUGUCUUCCAUUACCCAGAUGUAAAAGUGAUGAUGAAUGAACAAAGUUGCUUCACUUGAAAUAUCAAAUAUAAACACAGUUGUGGUUACGUAUUUUUUUACCGUUGGUCAACCCUUUUUGUUUGGCACCAAUCAUUGUGUCAUUUUCAUUUAUACAUAGACAUCUCUGUGGAUGUUAGUUGAGUUCAUCUAUUAAAUAGAUACUUAGGAUUUAUGUUCACAUGAAAACUGACUUGAAAUAACAGAUUUUUCCAUGGUAAAACAAAUGUUUACAGCAAGUUAUACAUGGAUAUGCCCGCAGCAACGCGUGUGGAAAUCAUCUAGUAUCCUUAAAACACGAGACUUUCCAUUUAAAGUUUAUUUAUGUGCCCUACAACAGCUUUCAUUAGCAUAUGAUCCUCCAUCCUAUCUUUUUGUCCUCCUGUUUCGUAGAGUUCUGUGGGUGACGUUUGUCUAUUGGAGAAUGUGGGAGAAAGGCUGUUCUUCUUAAGUUGCUUACACAUUUGUAGGCCAGCCCCAUAUUUUUGUAUAAGCUAAUCCAUGCUUUCUCAUAUCAACUUUUUUUGUUUGCUCAACGAAUCUUAUUCAUUAAACAACUCCUUAUGAACUAAGUCAAACAUAUAAUUUUGCAGGAAGCUUCAUGGUAUGGGACGGACAACUUCACUGUACCCUUUAUUCCAAGUUAUCUUGCCGAUUGAUGCUAAGCAACUAUGAAAAACUUUUGGCUGACCUAAUUGUUUAUUUCUUAUUGUGUUUGAUGUAUCCACAUUUCAGAAUCCUACAUCAUGCAUAUAGAUGGAUGCAAAUCGUUUAAAUUGCAGAAUUGAAAAUGUAUUAUACAAAUAAAUGUGCACAGGUUGCUUUGUAUCACUAACAAGUACUCCUCCGUCCAAA